AUUGAACGCUGGCGGCAUGCCUUACACAUGCAAGUCGAACGGUAACGCGGGGCAACCUGGCGACGAGUGGCGAACGGGUGAGUAACGCAUCGGAACGUGCCCAGUAGUGGGGGAUAGCCCGGCGAAAGCCGGAUUAAUACAGCAUACGACCUACGGGUGAAAGCGGGGGACCGCAAGGCCUCGCGCUGUUGGAGCGGCCGAUGUCAGAUUAGGUAGUUGGUGGGGUAAAGGCCUACCAAGCCUGCGAUCUGUAGCUGGUCUGAGAGGACGACCAGCCACACUGGGACGGAGACACGGCCCAGACUCCUACGGGAGGCAGCAGUGGGGAAUCUUGCACAAUGGUCGAAAGCCUGAUGCAGCGACUCCGCGUGGAGGAUGAAGGUUUUCGGAUUGUAAACUCCUGUUAAGUGGGAAGAAAGAUUCAUACCUAAUACGUAUGGAGGAUGACGGUACCACUAGAGAAAGCACCGGCAAACUUCGCGCCAGCCGCCGCCGUAAGAC
rnacentral:rRNA from 1 species